rnacentral:misc_RNA from 1 species
GAACAACCAACAAGGGUUCGAGUCACAGUAGAGGACAAGUGAGAACACUAUUGAUCCUCCUGGUGUGAACGAAAAAACGAAAUGUUAUUUCAAGAUCCAUAUUCAUUAAGGUAUCUUUCUGCAAUAGCAGCAUGAGUAGCUGCACCAAUAGGCAAUACAUCUUCAUCAAUCAUAAAAUGUGGUGAAUGUCCUGUAUGUAUUGAUCCUAAGGUCUCAUUCCUUAUACCAAUAUAGAAAAAUGCAGCAGGAAUUACUUCAGAGUAGAAUGAAAAAUCCUCUGCUCCCAUCAUUGGCGGAACGACCUUAAAAUUGGUCGUUCCAACCAAAU